rnacentral:rRNA from 1 species
AGAGAAAGUGAAACAAAGGUUAGGUUUCGGUAGGUGAUCUGCGGAGAUCAUUGUCGAAGCCUGCCAAGCAGAACGACCAGCGACCCNGAGUGAAAAACUCGGGCGGGGGGGGUCGCGUGCGGGCCUCGGUAGCUCUGGUCCCCGUCCCCCCUCGUCGCCGUGGGGCUCGUCCCCAGGGCGCGCCAACGAACCCCGGCGCGGAUUGCGCCAAGGAAAACCAACGAGAGAGCGCGCUCCCCUGCCCCGGACACGGGUGUACGUGCGGGGGCGCCGCCUUCUUUCUGUAGUAGUCUAUAACGACUCUCGGCAAUGGAUAUCUCGGCUCUCGCAUCGAUGAAGAACGUAGCGAAAUGCGAUACUUGGUGUGAAUUGCAGAAUCCCGUGAACCAUCGAGUCUUUGAACGCAAGUUGCGCCCCAAGCCGUUAGGCCGAGGGCACGUCUGCCUGGGUGUCACGCAUCAUCGCCCCCUCCAUCUUUCGCCUCUUUUUCGAGGCGCAGGGAUACGUUGAGGGCGGAUACUGGCCUCCCGUGUGCGCCUCGCUCGCGGUUGGCUCAAAUUCGAGUCCUCGGCGACAGCGGCCGCGACCAUCGGUGGCGAAAAUUCUCAUCGUGGUCUCGUCGCGGAAGCGCCUGUCCCCGAAUCAAGGGCUCCUCGGACCCAGACGCGCCAUGCGCUCGCUUUGCGACCCCAGGUCAGGCGGGACUACCCGCUGAGUUUAA